UACGAAGGGGGCUAGCGUUGCUCGGAAUUACUGGGCGUAAAGGGCGCGUAGGCGGACAGUUUAGUCAGAGGUGAAAGCCCAGGGCUCAACCUUGGAAUUGCCUUUGAUACUGGCUGUCUUGAGUUCGGGAGAGGUGAGUGGAAUGCCGAGUGUAGAGGUGAAAUUCGUAGAUAUUCGGCGGAACACCAGUGGCGAAGGCGACUCACUGGCCCGAUACUGACGCUGAGGCGCGAAAGCGUGGGGAGCAAACGGGG
rnacentral:rRNA from 1 species